UCCUCCUCCUCCUCCUCCUCCUCCUCCUCCUCCUUCUCUUUUUUCGAGACGGUUUCUCUGUAGCUUUGGAGCCUGUCCUGGAACUCCCUCUGUAGACCAGGCUGGCCUCAAACUCACAGAGAUCUGACUGCCUCUGCUUCCCGAGUGCUGGGAUUAAAAGCCUGCGCCACCAACGUCUGGCCAUCCUAGCUUCUUGACAGCAACCAGGUGUUAAGAACAGAGGCAUCCCUCUCUCAUCAGCAGUGGAAGGAGAGGAUGGCACCAGGACACCUAUAGUGUCCCCAAAACAGACAGAUCUGUGUGCCUGUGAAGAGGCUGCAGCCUAGCCAGAGCUGAAGCUACUGAGCAUGUGCAAGAUCUCAGGAUCCCGCUCUUCUUCUUUCUUUCUUUCUUUCUUUAUUUACUUACUUAGGCUUUUGGAGACAGUGUUUCUCUGUGUGUAGUCCUGGAACUUACUCUGUAGACCAAGCUGGCCUUGAACUCACAGAGAUCCGCCUGCCUCUGCCUCCUAGGUGCUGGGGUUACACCUAGCAUCAUCUGUCUUUUUGAAAACUACAAUUAAUUUUAUUAAUAUUUUUAUCUGUUAACCUUUAUGAUUUUUAUUACUAAUUUAUUUGGCUCAAUUUGGUUUUGUAUCCAGGGAUGAUUCUGCUGCCUCUACCUCCCAAGUGCCAGGAUUCUAAUCCUGUGCCUUCACACUUGAUGUAUGCAGUUUGGGGAUCUAAUCCAGGACCCCCUACAUAGUAGGCAAGAAUGCUACCAGCUAAGGUACAUCCCCUGCCCUAAGUUUUGUUUUUCUCAGACAAGACCUUGCUGUAUUGGAACUCUGGCUCAGCAGGUCCUGCCACCAAGACUUACCACCUGCGUUCAGUCCUUGGAACCCACAUGAUGACAGGAGAGAAACGACUCCUGAAAAUUGUCAUCUGAGUCCCCCUCCCCACAACAUUAGUUAAUUAAAAAUUUGAAAAGGUUUAGCCAGAGUUGGUGACACAUACUUGUGCCAGAUUCAGGAGGCUGAGGCAAGAGGAUCAGUUGAGACUACAAAUGCAACACGGUAAGACUCCAACUGAAACUAUUCUAACUUAGCUUCUGUUUACUUAUCCUAUAAAUAAUUCCCACUUUGAAGAAGCACAGUGGGAGAUGGGCAACUCUUGGAGAACCUUGCUUGUGUGUCUCCUCGGUCCGGCCAGGUUCCUUGAGGUCAUAGCCGGUGACAUAUUUAACUGUGUUCUUCCUGCAGAGCCCAGUUCCUGGCCCAGAGCUGAAACGCUUUAAGUGAAUGAAUGGUGUAAGAUAAUGGGACUCCCUGUCAUCUCCCUGCGAGGGGCUGUACUGGUAUGUCCUUGUCUGAUAGACGAAGAAACAAGCACAGAUCCAAAGUGACUUGCUCAAACUUUUAAGGUUAAUCAAGUGCUCCUGGAACCCAUCUAUAUAUCUGUGUGUUUGUUUAUCUGUGUGCAUGGGGGUGGGGGUGGGGGAGUUGGGAUCUGGGACUGACACGUGCUUAGCAUGCUCCCUGACACUGAGCCCCUAGGCCGGAUCUGUGGCCUCUUUCAGAACACAGUUGGCUUCAGGGGAUGUUCACUGACCCGGAGGGGAGCCUGUGGAUGGUGUUUUCAUGAUCACUGUUGGCUUGUUUACACUCUCUUCCUGAGCUCUCGUGACUGUUAUUAAGGGUGGGUGAGGGCUAAGGUGUCUUUCUCUGUGAGAACCAGGUUUUUCCCCUUUGGCUGGGUUGCCAUGGGUAGGGUUUGUGGGUUUUUGGUUUCCUGUUGCCUGCACAGCCUGGGUCCCUCAGUGAUCUGCUACACUAGGUGUUGUCCUGACCAAGCUAUCUGUGUUUUCCCUAAGGAGGGCAGGCUGUGUCCAUGUUUCACCAGUACCAGCCUUAGGUUUGAGCCAAAGGAGUCCCCAGUGUGGGUCUUGUGUUUCAUGGGAUCUGGCUCAGCCUCUGCUCCAGUGACCUCUCCUUAAGGGACAGAGAUGCUGUAGUCAAGGCUCUUAUUCACCGAUGGUUGUCCUCUCCUCCUCCUAGCCCACAGGAUGAGUACCUGGACCUUUCGGUUUCUUAUCCACACAGCCUGACCUGCUUGGAGAAACCAUGUGGGCCUCCUUCCUUGGUCUACCUUCCUGGGUACCUCCAAGCCAAGGGCAACUUGGGUAGAACCUGGAAAAGCAGGUCAAAAUUUCCAAACCAGUGUGCUUAAGGGACCAUUUCAGAAUAAAUUGGGAACAGGAGGGGAGGGGGCAGGCUGUGGGAUGGCGCAGAACUCCACAAGCUUGAAAUCUGAAACUGAAAUCUGGCCUGCCAGAUUGGAGUGAAGGUACAUUUGUCAAGGUAGGCGAAUAGUACAUAUUUUACUUAACACUUUGUCAAUUUAAUUUCUAACAUUUAAUAUUUAUGCAUACGGUGCGUGGGUCCCUAUGUCUGUUCUUGCCCUGGGUUUUGCAACUGUCAGAGGCGGGCCUGGGGCUAAGGAUGUAUCUCAGUGAUAGUAUGCUUGUAUAACACAUAGGGUACACUAAGUUCAACCCUUAGUACAGAAGUGGGAAAGAGAAUAAAGUAUUUUCGUAUUCGUUCUGGGGGCUGGGCUUGUAGUUCAGUUGGUAGAGUGCUUGCCUACCUAGAGCUGGAAGCCUGAUGCCCCAAAGCCCCGAGUUUGAUUCCCCAACACUGUAUAAACUGGCUGUGGUGGUGCACACCUGUAAUUCUAUCACUUGGCAGGUAGAGGCAGGAGUUCACAGUCACCCUUGGCCAGCAUGGCUAUAAAAGACCCUUUCUGAAAAAUAAAAAUGGGGAGGACUGGAGAGAUGGCCUGAAGGAUAGGAGUGCUAGCUCCAUUCCCAGCACCCAUGCUGGAUGACCCACAGAUGCAUAGUGCUAGCUCCAGGGGAUCCAACACCCUCUUCCGGACUCCAAGGGCCCCUGCACUGUCAUGUACUCCCCCCAGCCCCCCCUGUAAAUACACAUAGAGAAAAAGCAAAUACAAUCUUUAAGAGAAAUAUUUAAACCUAAGUAACACAAGUGCCCCUGCCUGUUAAAAUAGAAAGAAAGCCUGCUUGUUCUCAUUGGCCUUCAACAGUUACACCCGCCUCUUUAAAACAGGAAAAGAUAAAGCCAGACCCUAUGACCAGGCGGACAAGUUACACCAUGUCCAGAUCGUGGCAAGUCUGGCACCCUCUUUCCUUUUCCUCCCUCUUCGUCCUCUUCUUGAGACAGGUCUCACUCUGUGGACACAAGUUCUGCCUCUGCCUCCAGGGCGGUGGGGUUGAAAGUGUGCACUACUACACCUGGUUUGUAACUUAGAAAAAAGCAGUCAGCCUGAUUUAAGGUAUUGUGGGACAAAAACCAACAGAGUAAAGUAGGGGAGGAGUGAAGGGCUGGUAGCAUCAGGCUCGCCAUACCUGCUACCACUUUCACACUCUUCCUAGUCCCUCUGGUGCCCCUACUGUUCCUCCAACAUGCUGAGCACUGUGUGUGUGUGUGUGUGUGUGUGUGUAGGGAACCCACGGCUGCACAUUCGUGCCAGGCAAGCACUCUGCCAGUCAGUCAGGGUCAGCUGCAUCCUCAGCCCUGCUGGAGCAUCUUGAUGGAGCAUCUUGAUGGAGCAUCUUUUCUUCCUCAUCCAGAGCCCUCCUUUUCAGGCCAGAAGAGGGCACCAGAUCUCAUUACAGAUGGUUGUGAGCCCCAUGUGGUUGCUGGGAAUUGAACUCAGGACCUCUGGAAGAGCAGACAGUGCUCUUAACCUCUGAGCCAUCUCUCCAGCUCUGGAUAACAUAGAUGGCCUUGAACUUGGGAAUCUGUCUGCCUUAGUUUGCUAAGUAGCUGGGAUUUCAGGUGGACAACACACCAUGGUUUUUGUUUCUUCUAUCAAGCUGAGGAUCAAAGGCAGGUGCGCUCUGCCACCAAGCGACAUCCUGACCCCCAUCUGUAAUCCUUUCAAAGAAAGAAAAGAGUUUGCUUGGAUCAAAGAGCAAAAAUGAAUUUUGUCAAGUGGAUGUGCAGGAGGCGCUCCUCUACACUACGGGGAGAAGAGUUGGCAAGAAGAAAGGACCUUGGAACGAGAGCCUGUACAGUUGGUGACUGGCCUAUGGUGGUGCACCCAUUCACAUGUGUGGGCAUUCUCACACACAGACAUACAGACAGACAUGUGGAAGUGUGCCCCCCCAAUCAAUGGGCAUGUGGGAGCCACUAGUGAGAAAGAGCCCAUCUCACACUGGUGCAGGAUAGGAGGCCUAGGCUGUCUCUCCUUUCACAUACCAAAUGCCCCCAGGUAACAGCCACACAAGGGUAGUUAGUUGUAUUGCCGCUGGGAGUCCUGUGUGGGACACUUAGGAAAUAAAGAUUAAUGAAACUGGCAAGAGUCCUCAAUCCAACCCAAGCACAUGGCUGAAGUGCCUGCCACGAGCACCCACCAGAAGCUUUGCUAGUUGCAGGCUGAAGCUCUAGCUAAAGCAAG
rnacentral:lncRNA from 1 species